rnacentral:rRNA from 1 species
GCAGCCAUGCCGCGUGUGUGAAGAAGGCCUUCGGGUUGUAAAGCACUUUCAGUCGUGAGGAAGGUGGUGGUUAAUAGCUAUAUUUGACGUUAGCGACAGAAGAAGCACCGGCUAACUCCGUGCCAGCAGCCGCGGUAAUACGGAGGGUGCGAGCGUUAAUCGGAAUUACUGGGCGUAAAGCGCAUGCAGGUGGUUUGUUAAGUCAGAUGUGAAAGCCCGGGGCUCAACCUCGGAAUAGCAUUUGAAACUGGCAGACUAGAGUACUGUAGAGGGGGGUAGAAUUUCAGGUGUAGCGGUGAAAUGCGUAGAGAUCUGAAGGAAUACCGGUGGCGAAGGCGGCCCCCUGGACAGAUACUGACACUCAGAUGCGAAAGCGUGGGGAGCAAACAGGAUUAGAUACCCUGGUAGUCCACGCCGUAAACGAUGUCUACUUGGAGGUUGUGGCCUUGAGCCGUGGCUUUCGGAGCUAACGCGUUAAGUAGACCGCCUGGGGAGUACGGUCGCAAGAUUAAAACUCAAAUGAAUUGACGGGGGCCCGCACAAGCGGUGGAGCAUGUGGUUUAAUUCGAUGCAACGCGAAGAACCUUACCUACUCUUGACAUCCAGAGAACUUUCCAGAGAUGGAUUGGUGCCUUCGGGAACUCUGAGACAGGUGCUGCAUGGCUGUCGUCAGCUCGUGUUGUGAAAUGUUGGGUUAAGUCCCGCAACGAGCGCAACCCUUAUCCUUGUUUG